UGGGGAAUAUUGGACAAUGGGCGCAAGCCUGAUCCAGCCAUGCCGCGUGAGUGAUGAAGGCCCUAGGGUUGUAAAGCUCUUUCACCGGUGAAGAUAAUGACGGUAACCGGAGAAGAAGCCCCGGCUAACUUCGUACCAGCAGCCGCGGUAAUACGAAGGGGGCUAGCGUUGUUCGGAUUUACUGGGCGUAAAGCGCACGUAGGCGGACUUUUAAGUCAGGGGUGAAAUCCCGGGGCUCAACCCCGGAACUGCCUUUGAUACUGGAAGUCUUGAGUAUGGUAGAGGUGAGUGGAAUUCCGAGUGUAGAAGUGAAAUUCGUAGAUAUUCGGAGGAACACCAGUGGCGAAGGCGGCUCACUGGACCAUUACUGACGCUGAGGUGCGAAAGCGUGGGGAGCAAACAGG
rnacentral:rRNA from 1 species